rnacentral:misc_RNA from 1 species
CCCCCCCCCCCCCGCCACCACCACCACCAUCAUCACCACCAGGUGGGAGCCCAGGUCCUCCAUCAUCAAGUUGUGGCGUCUUCGUUGGUUCUCGUACAGGAGCCUUGGUGAUUGUUGGCGCCUCACGGGUUAUGGUUUGAUGAGUUUGCCCUGAAGCAGAGCAUCUUGCAUUCAUAGCAGCAGAACAUGUAAUUGAAGCAGAUUGCUUUCUAUUACAAUGUUUCCUUCCAUAAAUAGGAUGUAAUUGCUUCCCAAGCCCUAUUGGGCUCAGCACAAGCUUAUUUAACCCACUUCGAUGAUCAUAAGGUUGAAGCCGAGUGGAAACACUGACAGGACUGCAGCUUGUUUCCUUUUGACUCUUGCAUCCAUUCCUAGU